rnacentral:lncRNA from 1 species
ACAACUUUUACCAUUCACAUAUCAACAAAUCAAAACGUGGCAAAAAGAAUUCCAAAACCGUGUAUUAGUUGAAUAAAAAUAAAAGAAUUAGUAAACCUACUUAAAAUUCAACAAAAAGAAUCAAAUUAAUUUCUUAAUAAAUUCACAUAUAAGUAGAGAAUAUUUAAUAAUUAUUAAUUAUUUAGCUAAUGCUCACCUUACUUAAUUACCAUGCCCAGAUCUACAAAUGCUUCACCUAAGUGGUGCUUCUGCUUCUUCUUUAAACAGCCUCCAACAAUGCUCUUUAACUUUGACCAAGGCAUCCGUCCACGAUCUUGAAGCUAAAUUAAACACCUCAAAUCAUUUUUCUCGAUGACGAAGAUUGGCGUUAGGCAAAAAAGUGGCUAGAAUUUCACGACCGUGUGAGAUUCU